AUUCCAAGUACAGUGGUACCUUGGGUUACAUACGCUUCAGGUUACAUACGCUUCAGGUUACAGACUCCGCUAACCCAAAAAUAGUACCUCAGGUUAAGAACUUUGCUUCAGGAUGAGAACAGAAAUUGUGCUCCGGCGGGAAAUUGUGCAGCAGUGGGAGGCCGCAUCAGCUAAAGUGGUGCUUCAGGUUAAGAACAGUUUCAGGUUAAGAACGGACCUCCGGAACGAAUUAAGUACUUAACUCAAGGUACCAUUGUAGUUUUACCUGCCCUGACCCAAAGCCUUUGAUGAUAAGGUCCCCCCCCCCCAAAAAAACCCCACACAUCCAGGUCAGAGAAUUAAUGUAAGUAAAGCAAUAUUUUAUUCAGGAUGCACACCAUUAAUUAUUCCCGCUUUUUUUUAGGAAUAACAGAACAUCAGCAACCCUUUCUUGCCCGUCAUAAUGCCAAACUAGCUGUAGUUAACCAUAUUUCUUUUGCAUUUGAAGGUGAAUUCAAGUUAGUUUGGAUCUAACAUGGGGCUGGAAGUUAAAGCUGGACAGCACUUUAUCCAUCAAAGUAGAGUUCAAAGUAAAAAUUAAAAAAAAUGCUAAUAUAAAGUAGCUGUUUGGAAGAGAGAGCAAAACCCCCAAAUGACCCAAACUUCAAAAGGGACCAACGUCAAGCAGUUGCAUUGAAGUUCCCUUAAUAAAUAAACAUUUGAAUCUGAAAGGAACAUUUUCACCUUUCUAGCUUGACAGCUGACCAUUGCAACCUCUCCACUGAUAUUUUAUGCAGUAAUUACUUCCCUCAAUGCAGAAAGCUUUUCUACUCCAAUAAAAUUAAAUACAAACAUGCUUUCUCUCUGUUUCUCUCUCUCUCUCUCUCGCUCUAUAUAUUAAAGAGGGAGAAUAUCUCCGUCAAAGCUCUAGUGUAUGUUUGGGACUCACAACCGUGAUCCUCUGCUUACUUAACCCAGACAGCAAUAUUUUUCUUCUCUUAAUUCAGUUCAGUGUAUCGCUUUGAUUUAGAAAAUCCCAACAUCGUAGCAGCUUGUAAAGAUGUGAGUACAGUAGUUAGUAAAAAGCCUGCUUUGAGUUAAGGAAUGUCGGGGAACUUUGGCACGGCUAAGAACAAUGAGAAGCCUGGGAUCUUUUGAUCUCGCAGCCCACUCAGAGCCGAGGCAGCGGCUCACAGCUUUUGGCAUAUGAACCACUCCGAGUGGGAGGAAACAUCUCGUCCCUUUGCCCCAGAUUUUAGCUCUGGCACCAGUUCUUGUGCAGUCUUUGCCGCUGUCUUGCAAGCCCUCAUUUCAGCACUCUGAGGGUAGAACUGCAUUUUACAAUAAAUUUGGGUGGCCACUUAUGCAUAGUCAAGAAAGAGGACAAAAGCGGGUGAGGAUCUGCAUACGAUUUGCAAGGGCUACUUCACAUAUAGAAACACACACUGAGAAAUGGUGACUGUCCUUUAUGUGGAAAUGCAAUGUAUCACCCCACAGUGAAGCUCACUGCACAGUGAGAUGGGAUCAGGGGCUUCUCUGUGGUGGCACCUCAGUUAUGGAACUCUGUCCCCUCUGAGGUAGGAAUAGGGCUGAUGUUGUAUAUUUUACAGUGCCAGCUGAAGACUCACUUCUUGGCCUGGACCUUCGAAGGGAAUGGAAUGCGUAGCCUGCUGGAAAUGAUGGGCUUUCAACAGCUAUACUGUUAUAUUCUCAUAAAUAUCUGUGCUUGAUCUUUUAAUUGUUACUUUAUUUCUUCUGUUUUAAGGUCUUAUUUUGACUUGGGACGAUUAUAUUGAUCAAUUGCAGGCUCAAAAUGGAAUAAAAUGAAUGAGUGACCAGGUGACCUGCAUGAAACCAGCUGAGCAAUGCUGCCCCACCUCAGCCACCCUGCUGGCUCCUACGGCUACUUCCGGUAUAUUACCUGUAGCUCCUACCAUCCCAGAACAUCAGCCUCUGCAUCCGGAUAGCAUCUGUGGUGGCUCUCCAUCCAUCUCAGUUACAAGGCAGGCCCCGUACCUUGAGUGCAAGUGCUUCAUUGUCAGUGCUGACCUCUGAUCUUCACUCGGUGCAAAGGAACUGUCAGUUGAGAACAAAGAGAGUUUUGCAAAAGCGUCCCCUGCAGUAACUUCAGCUAAGUCAGUCUGAUAAGUUAUUUUCACUGCUGCCUAAUGUGCUUUAUGCUAUCCGUUUGGUCCCAAAAGAAGCAUUUGUUUCUGGGCUCCCCACAUCCCCUUUAGUCAAAAAAGUAAUAACCAGCUCUUAGAGACAGCACGAUGGCCCUGAAGUCUGAAUUUACUUGGCACCGUGACCCAUCAGUUUAUUGUGAUGUGAAUUUUGGACCUCAGGUCUUUUUGAUAGCCACCAGCUUCAUGUAUCUGACCCCAAGGGUCAGACAGAGAGAACUGGAGGCCACAUUUCUCUGAAGUUUUCCAUCCCUGGUCUACAUAGCUCUUCCUCCCUGCCCCAUUUGCCAUUCAAAAACAAUCUCCUAUAAGCUGCUGCUUGUCCUUAAAGUGCUCUUUGCAUGGAAUACUCAGGAUGAAACGGUGAAAUCUGCUAUGAUUAAAUGGGCACAAGAUGUUGGACAUAACAUAAUGAUGGCUGACUGGGAACAGUUAUGGACCACAGGUAUGAAGUUUACGGCAUGCAAUGCCUUAAGAGAGAAUAUUAUGAAAAUGAUAUACAGGUGGUACAUGACCCCAGUCAAGCUUGCAAAAAUCUAUCAUUUGCCUGAUAACAAAUGUUGGAAAUGUAAAGAAACUGAAGGUACAUUCUUUCACCUUUGGUGGACAUGCCCAAGGAUUAAGGUUUUCUGGGAGAUGAUCUAUAAUGAAAUGAAAAAGGUAUUUAAAUAUACCUUUCUGAAGAAACCAGAGGCCUUUCUCCUGGGCAUGGUCGGCCAAUUGGUGUUAAAGAAGGAUAGAACUUUCUUUAUGUAUGCCACAACAGCAGCAAGAAUACUUAUUGCAAAGUACUGGAAGACACAAGACCUACCCACUCUGGAAGAAUGGCAGAUGAAGGUGAUGGACUAUAUGGAAUUGGCGGAAAUGACUGGCAGAAUCCGAGACCUGGGAGAAGAGUCGGUGGAAGAAGAUUGGAAGAAAUUUAAAGACUAUUUACAGAAAUAUUGUAAAAUUAAUGAAUGUUAGAAUGAUGUUAGACUGAAAUUAGGUGGUUUAAGCAGUAAUGCUAUAAAGGUGUAUGUAAAAAAGGAUUGAUAAUAGGUGAAAAUUUAAAGUUAUAGUAUAUUAAGUUAAAGGAUCAUGAGAAAAUAAAGAGGGAAAGAAAUUGCUGACUUAACUAAUUGAACUGGAAUACAAAAAAAGGGAGGUAUGAGGAGGUCAGGGAAACAAGGAUAUGAAUGUAAGCUAUGGAAAAAUUGAUCUAUUUUUCUUUUUUUUUCUUUUUAAGUGUUUUUUAUUCUUUUAUUCUGUAUUUUGUAUUUUGUAUUUUUCUUGUAUUUUUACUUCUUGUUUUUGUGUAAUUCUUUUUUUUAUGAAAUUUCAAUAAAUAUC